CCCGUAUUCCUCUCUGUGUUUAUUAAACUGAACCAUCUCCUUUAACUUCCCCAACUUGAUUAUUCUGAGAUUUAGACGCUUAACUCCAUCAAUUUCAUCACAUAAAUCCCUUCAAUUCUUCAAAACCCCCUGAUUUUUGAAGAAACUGUAAUUGAAUCCAGUUUCAAUUUCCAAAUCCACAUCAUAGAGAGAGAGAGAGCGAGUGAGGAUCUUUUUUUCUUUUUUCUUUUUUCAAUAGUUAAAUCUCUCUGUACAUCUCCAUCUCCUACUACCUUGAAGAAAGAGAUACAUAGAUUCAGCUUGGCAUAGUGAAAGCGGUGGCAGAUUGAUGGCAAAAUCGAUUGUAGAGAAUCAUAAUCAAAAAGGGGGCGGAGGAGAGCUAAAGACGCGAAAUCAGUAAGAUUCUUGGGAUUUUGGUAAUACCAUUUUGAUUAUUCACUAUGCUAGGCUCGAUACUCAUUUAUCAAUUAAAGUUUUUCUUGUGAUUAAGAGUCAUUCUGGUCCUUGUUGAUAAAGCGGUUAGGUUUUUUAUUGGAAUUAUACUCGAUAGAUAUUUUUUUUCUUUUGUAUUUCCAAAAUUGAUUUUAGUAAAUGUAGAACAACAACCAACGGCAUCAUCAUCAUCGUUGGGUCAUUCAGUAAUACCAAUUGUGAAUAAACUACAAGAUAUAUUUGCACAAUUAGGAAGUUCAUCAACGACUGAAUUACCACAAGUUGCUGUUGUUGGAAGUCAAAAUAGUGGUGCAUCAACUGUUCUAGAAGCUCAGGUUGGUAGAGAUUUUCUAUGCAGAGGUUCUGAUAUUUGUACAAGAAGACGAUUGGUUUUACAAUUGUUGCAUACUAAAUGUAAAUCUGAUGCUGGAGCUGAUGAAGAGUAUGGAGAGUUUUUGUACUUACCUAAAAGAGUUAGGCCCCUUGCUGCGAGAUUACAAACUUUUGAUUUUCCGCAACCACUUGUAAGUAUCCACUUUUGUUUACUGGUUCUUAUUAGUUAUUUCCUCAGAACAUGGGACCUAUCUACUGAUUUUGAUAUUUGUAUAAGGAAAGUGAAUUGUCAACUGAUUCUUGGGAUCUAUAUGGAUCUUAGAUUUUCAAACCUUGGGUCUGUAAAGAGUUGGAAAAUGAGUGACCCGUUGCUGUUAUUUUUGUUAUUGUUUUGGAGUUCAUUAAAACUACUUCACAUCAAUUAACAACAGAUCAUAGCCUCAUGCCGUGGCAGAGGUAAUGGUAAAUCCGAUUUAAUGCCUAUGAAGACUGAGACAUCAUGAGGGGAGAUUUAUCAGUUUUAUCACACUAAAACUGCAUCUCAGGUUUAAAUUUAACAAAUAUUUUUAUGAGAAUAUAUAUUCUUUUUUAUGCUACUCGUGAUGCAGUUCUAUUCCUACUUCAUUGCAGGUGAAACCAGAAAGUCCUACUCUUGUUUCCUCUUCUUUUUGUUGGAGGAGAAACUCAAAUUUCAUUCAUAACCUAGUUUGUUCACAAGUAUCAAUUAUGAAUAAUCAUAAAGAGAGAUUCGAGGAAUCCUCUGAAUCAUUAAUUCAUCUGUGUUUCUAACUUACACAUGGGGCUUAAUUUGUUAGAAUACAGGGAUUAUAGAGAAGAAAUAAAAGCUCCAUGAUUUUGAGCUACAGGUGAGCAUUGUAUCUAACCAGGAUGAAGGGCUUAUGGAAGCUCAACAAGGUAUAGAAGAAAUAACGGGAGAAUUGGGUAUCUCAUUCAUAAGAGUUACUGACGGUGCUAAGAUGGUUUUUGUAAGGAUCAAGGUAAUAUCAGUUGUUGACAUCCUACUAGUACUGGGCUAUACGCACACAACCUAGGCGUAUUUGGUAUCUGCAAUUUGGAUAUUGAAAUUGCACAGUUACAAGCCAAAGUGCCAUGAACAUUUUAUCCGUGUAGGUUGUUUACUGCUGCUAACAACUAUAGGCACACUAACUAGGUGUAUUACUACUUGCUUACUUGGGUCUUAUUGGUUUACAGGACGACCCCACCAAUCUCUCUAUUCCCAGAAGUGCAAUAUUCAAAGUCUAUUUACAAGCCUGUUACUAUGUUCUUACUUGGUGAUAGGAUAUCAUGUUCAAGGGAUAUAGGAGUGCUGAACAUCAAACAUAAGUCUACGAAGCACAAUCCACUUUAUCAUAUUUAUAUAUUUUAUGAAUCCAUGUAUGCUAAUCUAUGCAGUGGCUUACAGCAACCGAUCUUGUCUUUUCGGAAGGACGAUAUCUUUUACUGGAAGAUGUAGAUGUUACGAUCAAUCUUUCAAAAGGUUUAUAUCUUACUGAAAGUAUAUCUUCUGAUGAACAGAAGGAGCUCCGGCACCUGGCAGUUAAUUAUGUUUUGAUUUUUUUUUCUUCUUUGUUGUUUUGAACCAGAAGUAGCUUCUGUUGUUGAAUUUGAGAUGUUUGGUUUCUCAAAGUUGUAAUUUUUCUUUUGAAGGAUCGAUUGUUACUGAAUUCAAGUUAACUUAAAUAAAAUGGUUUGAAUUUGUUUA